GGGGCGGUAGCUCAAUUGGUUAGAGUCCCGGCCUGUCACGCCGGAGGUUGCGGGUUCGAGUCCCGUCCGCCUCG
rnacentral:tRNA from 2 species